rnacentral:rRNA from 1 species
UUGGAGGGCAAGUCUGGUGCCAGCAGCCGCGGUAAUUCCAGCUCCAAUAGCGUAUAUUAAAGUUGUUGCAGUUAAAAAGCUCGUAGUUGAAUUUCGGGAUUGACACAUCGGUCGUGCCUUAAGGGGUAUGAACUGGUGUAGUCAAUUUCUCACCUUCUGGAGAACCGCGAUGCCCUUAAUUGGGUGUCGCGGGGAACCAGGACCUUUACUUUGAAAAAAUUAGAGUGUUUAAAGCAGGCAUUUUGCUUGAAUACAUUAGCAUGGAAUAAUAAAAUAGGACGGCAUGAUUCUAUUUUGUUGGUUUCUAGGAUCACCGUAAUGAUUAAUAGGGAUAGUUGGGGGCAUUAGUAUUCAAUUGUCAGAGGUGAAAUUCUUGGAUUUAUUGAAGACUAACUACUGCGAAAGCAUUUGCCCAGGAUGUUUUCAUUAAUCAAGAACGAAAGUUAGGGGAUCGAAGACGAUCAGAUACCGUCGUAGUCUUAACCAUAAACUAUGCCGACUAGGAAUCAGACGAUGUUAAUUUUUUAAUGACUCGUUUGGCACCUUACGGGAAACCAAAGUGUUUGGGUUC